CCAGGUGACCUUAGCGAAGGGGAUCCACCCGUUCCCAUGUCGAACACGGAAGUUAAGCCCUUCAGCGCCGAUGGUACUGCGUUAAGCGGGAGAGUAGGACGUCGCCUGGC
rnacentral:rRNA from 1 species